rnacentral:lncRNA from 1 species
GUUCCCGGCCACCAGGAGCGCCGCUUCUGGGUGAGCAUUUUCUUCGUUGCUUAUGGCCUUAUAGAGUUGGUUGAGAGCGGUCUUAGUGCCAGCUUCGCAUUGUGGUUGUAAAUAGACGGCUACGAAUAAUACAGAUGAGAACUCUUUUGGUAGAUAGUGCGGUCGACAGCUAUCAAGAGGUACUCUACCUCAGGAGAGCAAUACCUCGAGACUUCUUUAAUAUUAGACAUCGUGCACCAGCUGUUAUUGACAAAAAGACACACACCCCCACCCCUCGUCUUACCAGACGUAGCAUCUCUAUUCUGCCGGUGCAUGGAAAAUCCUGCCAGCUCUAUACUGUCCGAUAAUCUUAAUAUUAGGUCAUCAAAAAAAAUAAUUGCGAUUGCAUGUUAGCAAGAAGAAUGGAAGGCAUUAGGAGUUUACUCGCUCGCCUCCGGAUUCUCAAAAGGAUCCCUGAUCUGCGUCCCCUUUUCCGGUGUCUUUUGUUCACGCAAAAGGCGUGGACCUGGGCCUGUUCCAGUGGAAGCAGGAUAUCCUUCUCGUCGGACUCAUUAAAGGAAAAAGUUUCUUCCAGUCCACGGAGCAUAUUGUUGGAUGUGGCCCACUCUUCCAGCUGCUUUGCCUCCAAGCCCAUGGAAAUGUCAUCUUUUGAUGCUGGUUAAUGGUAUGGCUCGGGACAACCCUACAUCGUCUGCAUACCCAGUGUCCAGAGUGUCACUGAAGGCAACUUUUCGGGUGGACAUGUAAAGAAGAAACAUAUAUGGUUUAAGAAAGGAAGUGUCAAGUGUGCAUCUCCCUGCGCUUGUGCAUGUGAUCUUUGUGUGCUUGCAAAUCUACAAUGACCUGUUCCUCAAAUAUGAUUGC